rnacentral:rRNA from 1 species
AGAGUUUGAUCAUGGCUCAGGAUGAACGCUAGCUACAGGCUUAACACAUGCAAGUCGAGGGGGCAGCAUUUUAGUUUGCUUGCAAACUGAAGAUGGCGACCGGCGCACGGGUGAGUAACACGUAUCCAACCUGCCGAUAACUCCGGAAUAGCCUUUCGAAAGAAAGAUUAAUACCGGAUAGCAUAUGAAUAUCGCAUGAUAUUUUUUAAUUAAAGAAUUUCGGUUAUCGAUGGGGAUGCGUUCC